UACGUAGGGCGCAAGCGUUGUCCGGAAUUAUUGGGCGUAAAGAGCUCGUAGGCGGUCUGUUACGUCCGCUGUGAAAACCCAGGGCUUAACCCUGGGCUUGCAGUGGAUACGGGUAGACUAGAGGCAGGUAGGGGAGAAUGGAAUUCCCGGUGUAGCGGUGAAAUGCGCAGAUAUCGGGAGGAACACCGGUGGCGAAGGCGGAUCUCUGGGCCUUACCUGACGCUCAGGUGCGAAAGCUAGGGGAGCGAACAGG
rnacentral:rRNA from 1 species